AUUGAACGCUAGCGGGAUGCCUUACACAUGCAAGUCGAACGGAGUGGCGAACGGGUGAGUAAUGAAUCGGAACGUGCCCAGUAGCGGGGGAUACCUACGCGAAAGCGUAGCUAAUGCCGCAUCCUAUUGGAGCGGUCGAUGUCGGAUUAGCUAGUUGGUGGGGUAACGGCUAACCAAGGCGACGAUCCAUAGCUGGCUUGAGAGGACGACCGGCCACACUGGGACGGAGACACGGCCCAGACUCCUACGGGAGGCAGCAGUGGGGAAUUUUGGACAAUGGGGGAAACGCUGAUCCAGCCACCCCGCGUGUGCGAAGAAGGCCUUCGGGGUGUAAAGCACUUUUGGCAGGGAAGCGGUACCUACAGAAUAAGCAACGGCUAACUACGUGCCAGCAGCCGCGGUAAUUC
rnacentral:rRNA from 1 species